CCAGACUCCUACGGGAGGCAGCAGUGGGGAAUAUUGCACAAUGGGGGAAACCCUGAUGCAGCGACGCCGCGUGAGCGAUGAAGUACUUCGGUAUGUAAAGCUCUAUCAGCAGGGAAGAAAAUGACGGUACCUGACUAAGAAGCCCCGGCUAACUACGUGCCAGCAGCCGCGGUAAUACGUAGGGGGCAAGCGUUAUCCGGAUUUACUGGGUGUAAAGGGGGCGCAGACGGCCAUGGCAAGCCCGGUGUGAAAGGCGGGGGCAUAACCCCUGGACUGCACUGGGAACUGGCAGGCUGGAGUGCCGGAGGGGUAAGCGGAAUUCCUGGUGUGGCGGUGAAAUGCGUAGAUAUCAGGAGGAACACCGGCGGCGAAGGCGGCUUACUGGACGGCAACUGACGUUGAGGCCCGAAAGCGUGGGGAGCGAACAGGAUUAGAUACCCCCGUAC
rnacentral:rRNA from 1 species